rnacentral:rRNA from 1 species
GAUGAACGCUGGCGGCGUGCCUAAUACAUGCAAGUCGAGCGAACAGAUGAGGAGCUUGCUCCUCUGACGUUAGCGGCGGACGGGUGAGUAACACGUGGAUAACCUACCUAUAAGACUGGGAUAACUUCGGGAAACCGGAGCUAAUACCGGAUAAUAUAUUGAACCGCAUGGUUCAAUAGUGAAAGACGGUUUUGCUGUCACUUAUAGAUGGAUCCGCGCCGCAUUAGCUAGUUGGUAAGGUAACGGCUUACCAAGGCAACGAUGCGUAGCCGACCUGAGAGGGUGAUCGGCCACACUGGAACGGAGACACGGUCCAGACUCCUACGGGAGGCAGCAGUAGGGAAUCUUCCGCAAUGGGCGAAAGCCUGACGGAGCAACGCCGCGUGAGUGAUGAAGGUCUUCGGAUCGUAAAACUCUGUUAUUAGGGAAGAACAAAUGUGUAAGUAACUAUGCACGUCUGGACGGUACCUAAUCAGAAAGCCACGGCUAACUACGU